rnacentral:rRNA from 1 species
CUCGGGUCUUGUACACACCGCCCGUCAAGCGAGCAAAGUCGGGGGUAGCUGAAGUGCUCCGCAAGGAGUCCGAGGCUAAAUUCGGCGAUGAGCGCU